CCAUUGCUUUUUUCCGGGUUUUCCUUUUACUCAAAAUUGCCCCGCCCCGCCACCCCCACCUUCUUACCUUGCCAUUCUACCUUCUCAUUCCUUCGUUGUUUCUUUCAUAGGAUGGAGGAGAAAUUUCCAGGCAAACACCUGCCUUGUACUACCCGAGCGACGUAAGUUGGGUAAGCUCUAACCUCUUGCCCUCCAAGGUCUUUACCUCCCUCACCUGCUGAGAAUUGGCCAUGUUGCAAAUACCGCAGGAAUAAAAAGAGAAAUUUUAGGUUUCACGUAUUCCGGUAAAAGUAGAUUUCAUAGACUAGCUCGGGGUCUUCAGAUUUCCCUAUGAAUAUAUUGGAUUACUCGUAUAAAAUUGGCGUUUAUGUGAUGGAAAUGCUUCGUGAAUGCCUUUUGCUGCGUUUUUGAAAAAUAAUUGUCAGGGUUUGUUUUUACUUAAACUGGGCUACUCAGGAGAUGCCUCGAGUUGUGAACAAGGGCGCCAUUAGUACUUUGUUUUGUUCUUUUAUCAAAACUUGUGUGGUUCCAAAUUAAUUUUUGUUGCUCAGAUGUUUGCUAAAUUCUAAAUAACAGCAUUUGUUAAACUUGUAGAUGUUAUAGAGUAAGUUUACGUAAACUGAUAGGCUAGAUAAGGUUUAACAUGUGAAAGAUCUGAACUUAAUUUUCUAUAUUAAAGGUAGGAAGGAAUAUGACUUUAUUCAAGUAGUUGAUUCAUUUCAUUACCUCUACAAUGGGCAUAAAGCAAAAAGAGAAACAUGAGUAUGUAGUUUAAGUUACUUUAAGGGGUGAAGAUCUGAAUCCAGUAAAUUUCCUUUAUUCUUAGAUAUAUAAAAAGGCUAUGACUUUAUUCAAGUAGCUGACCUACCUUGUUAUCAACUGGUAUGGAGUGUGAAAGAUACGAAUGUAGUAACUUUCCUUAUUUCUUGGAGAUAGAAAAGUAUCUGAAAAGAAUUUUAGAAAUAUUAAAGUGUUCUGUUUUGUUCUAUCCACAACUGACAUGAGGCAAAAAAGUGAACAACAUACUUUUUCCAUUUGAGACUUGUUAAUAUCUUGAAUUUUCCAAAAGAAUUUAAAAGUGAAGUGAUUUGCAGCAAACAAUUUCUGAAAAAUUUAAUCUUUACUUUCUGCAAUUUGGUGAGAUUGCUUAACUUUGGAAAUUCUUUUCACAUUUCAAAUGUUCUAAAGUAAAAUAUAUACAUUAAAAAUAUUUUUAACAUGCAGUUUCUUUAAAAAGUAAAAGCAGUUAAAAAAAGAAAAAGAGGUGUGAGAGUGGGACCAUAACUAAAGGUCCCACUAGUUUAUCACUUGUCUCAUCCAUUCCUCCUUCCUUCUCCCUCCUUUCACUCAUGUUAAACCACGAUUUCUUUUCUCCAGUGAAUCUCUUGCAUGUCUAAUUCCAUCUUGGCAGCUGCUUCUAGGGGCAACUUGAAAUAAUAAACUUCCAUACUUAUAAAAUACUUCAAGUUAUACCUCAAAAUCCACAACAUACUUUACAAAAUACCUCAAGCUCAUAGCACAGAUGAAGAGGCGAUUGUUUUUCUUUAAAAAUUUUUACUCCCAAAGCCAUAUAUAUAUGCCAUAUAUAUAUAUAUACAUAUAUAUAUAUAUUACACAUAUUAUAUAUAUUAGUACACACACACACCCACACACACACACACACCCCUGGAGAUUAGAUUUAAAGAGAUUCAGUCACUUGCCUGAUGUCACCCAACUGGUAGUAGAAAGGCUUAAUGAACCUCAGAUCUUUUCCCAACAUUCUUAAUGAACAUUUAAAAGGGAUUCUGAAUAAGAUUACUGCAUGUUUGUCAUCAGAAACUUUGAAGGCCACAAGGCAGUGAGCCGAUAUAUGCAAAAUGGUAAAAUAAAAACCCCUGUAAACCAAUAAUCCUAUGUUUGGCAAAAAUUGUCCUUCAAAAGCAGUGGCUCAUGCCUGUAAUCCCGUCACUUUGGGAGGUCAAGGCUAGUGUAUAGUUGAGAUCAGGACCAGUCUGACCAACAUGGAGAAACCCCAUCUCUACUAAAAAAUGUAAAAAUUAGCCUGGCCUGGUGGUGCAUUCCUGUAAUCCCAGUUACCUGGGAGGCUGAGGCAGACAAUCGCUAGAAUUGGGGAGGCAGAGGAUGCAGUGAGCCGAGAUUGCACCACUGCACUCCAGGCGGGAGACAGAGUAAGACACUAUUUCAGAAAAAUAAAAAAAAAGAACACCUGACAGAACAGAAGUAAAGAAACAUAGGACUCAAACAAAUAAUCCAACUAGAUCUAACACAUAUAUAGAACACUCGACUCACAGAAUUCAUAGUCUUCUGAAGUGCAUAUGGGAUAUUUUUCAAGUUAGACCACAUGAGACAAAUUAAUUCUCAAUAGAUUUAAAAAGAUAGAUAUCAUACAAAGUAUCUUCUCUGACCUCAACAACACAAAAUUAGAAAUCAAUAAUGAAAGAUAAACUAUAAAAUUUAUGAAUUUGUAGAAAUUAAACAAAAUGCUCUUAACCACUGGAUCAAAGAAGAAAUUAAAAGAGAAAUAUAAAAUAUUAAGAGACAAAUGAGAAUAAAAAUAGCAUGCAAAAACUUAUAGGACACAGUGAAAACAAUGCUAAGGAGAAAAAAUUGUAGCUAUAAAUGCUUACAUUAAAAAACAAGAAAUAUCUCAAAUCAACAACCUAACUUUACAAUUUAAGGAAGUAGAAAAAGAACAAAGUAAACCCAAAUCCAGCAGAGGAAAGGAAAUAAGAUUAGAGCAGAGUUAAAUACAAUAGAGAAUAGAAAAAUAAUAGAGAAAAAUCAAUGAAACCAAAAGUUAGUUCUUUGAAAAGAUCAACCAAAUUGACAAAUCUUUAGAUAGUAAUCAAGAGAGGUUAAGGGUGACUAUCCUAAUAACAGACAAAAUAGACAGAAAAAAGAAGACUAAAAUUACUAAAAUGAGAAAUGAAAGUGGAACUGUUACUACCAAUUCCACAGAAACAGAAAGAAUUAUAAGAAGAGCAUACUAUUAGCAAUUAUAUGCCAGCAAACUGAAAAGCCUGUAAAAUAUACAAUUACUAGAAAUACAGACCUUAUCACCACUAAGCCACAAAGAAGUAAAAAAAAAUCUGAAUAGACCUAUAACUAGUUAGGAGGUUAAGUCAGUAAUCAAAUAUCACUCAACAAAGAAAAACCCUGAACCUGAUGGCUUCAAUGGUAAACUUGACCAAACAUUUAAAGGAGGACUAAUACCAAUCAUUCUCAAAUGUUUCCCAAAAGAAUAAAGAGAAAGAAACACUCUUAACACAUUUUGUGAGGCCAGCAUUGCCCUGAUACCAAAGGCAGAAAAUUACGUUACCAUAAAACUAAAGAUCAAUAUCCCUUGUGAGUAUUGAUACAAAAAUCCUCAGUAAAAUACUAGCAAACCAAAUUCAGCAGCAUGUUGAAAGGAUUAUUUAUCAUGACCAAGUGAGAUUUAUUCCUGGAAUGCAAGAAUGGCUUAAAAUAUGAAAAUUGAUCAAAGUAUUAGACCACAUUAACAGAAUGAAAGGAAACAAACCUGAUCAUCUCAAUUGAUGCAAAAAAUUAUUUGACAAAAAUGAACACUCUUUUGUGACAAAAAGACUCAAAAAAUUAGAAAUGGAAAAAAUACCUCAAAAUGAUAAAGUCACAUUUAAAACAUUCACAGUAAAUAUCGCAUUUAAUGAUAAAACAAUGAAAGCUUUUCCUCCAAAAGCAGGAAGAAGGCAACGAUGCUUACUUUCACCACUUCUGUUCAACAUGGUAUUGUGAAAGUCCUAGCCAGAGCAAUUAGAUAAGAGAAGAGAAAUAAAAGGCAUCCAAAUGGAAAAGAAGUAAAAUGAUCUCUGUUUGCAAAUAAUAUGAUCUUAUAUGUAUAAAACAAAAAAUCCACGAAAAUAUUAGAAUUAAUUAAGAAAUUCAGCAAAAUAACAGGAUACAAGGUAAACAUAAAACAGUUGCAUUUCUGUACACUAACAAUGAAAAAUCUGAAAAAAAAAAAAAAAAAGAGGUAAGAAAACAGUUCCAGUUACAGUAGCACUUAAAAAGAAUAAAGACACUUAGGAAUUAACCAAGGAUAAGGAGGUUGUACACUGAAAACUGUGAAAACUUUCUAAAAUAAAUUAAAGAAAGUAUAAAAAAGUGGAAAGCAUAAAUAAAUUUGAAGAUUUAAUAUUGUUCAGAUGUCAAUACUACCUAAAGUGAUUUAUAGAUUUAAUGCAAUGUUUAUCAAUAUCCUAAAUGACUUAUUUUUUGCAGAAAUAGAAAAACACAUUCUAAAAUUCAUAUGGAAUCUCAAGUGACCCCAAAUAGCCAAAACAAUCUUGCAAAAAAGAAUAAAGAAUAUAUCCUGAUUUUAAAACUUACUACAAAGCUACGAAAAUUAAAACAGUGGGGCAUAAAAACAGACAUAUAGAACAGUGGAAUAGAAUAGACAGUUCCAAAACAUUCCUUGCAUAUAUGGUCAAAUGAUUUUAGACAAGGGUGUCAAGACCAUUCAAUAGAGAAAAGACAGCCUUUUUAAACAUGCAGUGCUGGGAAAACUGGAUAUGUCCUCAUGCAAAAGAAUGAAGCUGGAUCCUUAUGUAACAUCAUAUAUAAAAAUUAAUUCAAAAUGGAUUCAUUAAUUAAUAAUGUAAGACCUAAAUCUAUAAAACUCUUAGAAAACACAGGGCAGAAUUUCACAACAUUGGAUUUGGCAUGACACCAAAGGCACAGGCAAUAAUAACAAAAAGACAAAUUGGAAGGCCAAGGUGGGUGGAUCACCUGAGGUCAGGAUUUCAAGACCAGCCUGGCCAACAUGGUGAAACCCCAUCUCUGCUAAAAAUACAAAGAAAAUUAGCAGGGCACCUGCAAUCCCAGCUACUCAGGAGGAUGAGGCUGGAGAAUCACUUGAACCCAGGAGGCAGAGGUUGCAGUGAGUGGAGAUUGUGUUACUGCACUCCAGCCUGGGCAACAGAGUGAGACUCUGUCUCAAAAAAAAAUAAAAAGAAAAAUUGAAUUUAAUGGCCAGGUGUGGUGCUCAUGCCUGUAAUACCAGCACUUUUGGAGGCCAAAUUGUAAGGAUCACUUAAGCCCAGGAAUUCAAGACAAGCCUGGGCAACAUGGCAAGCUCCCAUCUUGGUAUAAGAAAAAAAAAAAGAAAAAAAUUGAACUUCAUCAAAAUGUAAAAAUUUUGUGCAUAGACAUUAGCAACAGAGUAAAAAGACAACCAAAAGGGAAAAUAUGUACAAAUCAUCUAUUUUAUAAGAGAUUAAUAUCUAGAGUAUAUAGAGAACUCUAAAACUCAACAACCAAAUGAUGCAAGCAAUUCAUUUCCAAAAUGAGCAAAGAACUUAAAUAGACGUUUCUACAAACUAGAUAUGUAAAUGGCCAAUAAGCCCAUGAAGAGAUGCUCAGCAUCACAAAUCAUUAGAGAAAUAUAUGUUAAAACUGUAAGGAAAUACCACCUCAUACCUAUUAGGAUGGCUGAUAUAAAAACGAACAGAAAAUAGUAAGUGUUGGUGAGGAUGUGAAUAAAUUGAAACUCAUGCUUUAUUGGUGGGAAUGUAACAUGGUACAGUUGCUUUGGAAAACAGUAUGGCUGUUUCUCAAGAAUUUAAAAAUAAAAUUAUCAUAUGAUUUAGCAAAUUCUACUUCUUGGUUUAUACUCAAAAUAAUUGAAAGCAGGAACUUGAAGACAUAAUUGUAUACUCAUGUUGAUAGCAGCAUUAUUCACAAUAGCCAGUGCUAAAAACAACUAUCCAUGGAUUGAUGAAUAAACAAAAUGUGGUAUUAACAUGCAGUGGAAUAUUAUUUAAUCCUAAUGAAGAAGGAAAUUCUGACAUGAUACAAUAUGGCUGAACCUUGAAGACAUUAUGCUAAGUGAAAUAAGCCAUUCACACAAGGACAAAUAUUGUAAUUUCACUUACGUUAGCUACCUAGAGUAGUCAAAUUUAUACAGGCAGAAAGUAACAUGGUCGUUGGCAAGGUCUGGGUGGAUGGGGAAUGGGAAAUUAUUGUUUAAUGAGUAUAGAGUUUUGUAAGAUGAAAAGUUCUGGAGAUGUAUGAUGGUGAUAUUUGCACAACAAUAUAAAUGUAUCUAAUGCCACUGAACCGUACACUUAAAAAUGGUUAUGAUAAUUUUUACAUUAUGAAUAUUUCCCACAAAUAAAAAUAACUUUUAAAAAACUCUAUUGUUCUAAAACAGUGUUCUUUUUCUAGACAAAGUACUUAUUAGUUCAAAACAAUCUAUGUAUCCGUUCUCUGUUAUCAUAUAAUCUUUUAUUUUCAGUGGAAGAAAAUGUUGGAAAUAUUUAUUCCUCCUAGUUUCCUCCUCUCCCCAAAUAAUAAAUGAUAGGAGGGUGGUGUAAUCUCAUCUUUUCUACUUUGGUGAUCUGAUUUUGGUUUAAGCACUACUAGUAGGUGUACUUUUUGUCUGUUUUUAGAUUCCAUUUGAAAGAAACCAUUUCUCUGCUUCACUAGAACACUCCGGCUACAUUCUUUUGGCCUAUUCUUUGUUGGGUGAGACUCUCUGAAAUUAAUGCCUACUCUUUAUUGAUUGCCUACCUUUGGCAGACAUUUUGCAAACAUUAUUUUUAACUUCUUGAAUAACCUUCAAAUUAGCUAUUAUUACCCCCAUUUUCAGGUAAUGAAAUCUAGAUUGUAAGUAGUAAGUACAGGAUUUGAAUGUGGUUCUAGCUCUAAAACUGUGAAAAGCUGACUGCAUAAAAUCUUUACCUAAAAGUUAAAACAAAAGCCAAAGUCAGAUAGAUACUCAAUCACCCCAUCCAUUCUCUUUUAAGCUACAGGAAAGUGAUCUCUAUUUAAUACAUAUGAAUUUCUGUUUGCAAAAUGGGCAUCAAAUCUUAAUAGUUUUAUAAGUGAGUAAUUUAUAAAUACCUGAAGAAAUGGUUUGUACCAGAUGAUCUUUAAGGAUUUAUGAUGUAUGUAUCAUAAAUAGGUUGUAUAGAUUGUAUGGAUUGACAGAUUUUCACAAACUGAACACACCGGUUUAACCAGGACCUAGAUCAAGAAACAAAGCAUGACCAAUAGCUUCCAGGCUCCUUUAUGCUCGUAGCUGCAAUAUCUCCACUUUCAAUAGCAAUUGAUUAUUUUCACUUAAAUGUUACUUAUUUACAAUUAUGGACAUUUAGUUUCCAGUUUUGCUAUUAUGAAUAAUGUUGUUAUAGACAUUCUUGUUCAUGUCUUUUGGUGACACACACACAUUUCUGCUGAGUACAAAGCUAUGAGUAGAAAUAAUUGCUGGAUCACACUAUAUGCAUAUGUUCAGCUGGUAUGGUUUGGCUCUGUGUCCCCACCCAAAUCUCAUCUUAAAUUGUAGCUUCCAUAAUUCCCAUGUGUUAUGGGAGGGACCCAGUGGGAGAUCAUUUAAAUCAUGGAGGUGGUUUCCACCAUAUUAUUCUCUUGGUAAUGAAUGAAUCUCAUGAGAUCUGAUGGGUUUAUCAGGGGUUUCCGCUUUUGCAUCUUCCUCAUUUUUCUCUUGCUGCCAGCAUGUCAAAGUGCCUUUUGCUUCCCACCAUGAUUCUGAGGCCUCCCCAGCCAUGUGGAACUAUAAGCCCACUUAAACCUCUUUUUCUUCUCAGUCUUGGGUAUGUCUUUAUCAGCAGCAUGAACACAAACUAAUACAGUAAAUUGGUACCAAUAGAGUGGGGCAUUGCUGAAAAGAUACCUGAAAAUGUGGGAGUGACUUUGGAACUUGGUAAUGGGCAGAGGUUGGAACAGUUUGGAGGACUCAGAAGAAGACAGGAAAAUGUGGGAAAGUUUGAAACCUCCUAGAGAUUUGUUGAAUGGCUUUGACAAAAAUGCUGAUAAUGAUAGAGGCAAUGAAAUUCAGGCUGAAGUGCUCUCAGAUGGAGAUGAGGAACUUCUUGGGAACUGGAGCAAAGGUGACUAUUGUUAUGUUCUAUCAGAGACUAGCAACAUUUUGCGCCUUCCCUGGAGAUUUGUGGAACUUUUGAACUUAAAAGAGAUGAUUUAAGAUAUCUGGCAGAAUAAAUUUCUAAGCAGCAAAGCAUUCAAGAUCUGUCUUGAGUGCUGCUAAAGGCAUUCAGUUUUAAAAGGGAAACAGCAUAAAAGUUUGGGAAUUUGCAGCCUGACGAUGUGAUGGAAAAGAAAAUCCCAUUUUCUGAGGAGUAAUUUAAGCCUGCUGCAGAAUUUACAUAAGAACAAGAAGCCCAACAUUAAUCCCCAAGGCCAUGGGGAAAAUGUCUUCAGAGCAUGUCAGAAGUCAUCAUGGCAGCCCCUCCCAUCACAGGCCUGGAACCCUAGGAGGAAAAAGUGGUUUCAUGGGCCAGGCCCCAUGUCCCUGAGCUGUGUGUAGCCUGGGAAGUUGGUGCCCUGUGUCCUCGCUACUCCAGCCAUGGCUAAAAGGGUUCAUCGUAGAGCUUGGGCCAUGGCUUCAGAGGGUGGAAACCCCAAGCCUUGGCAGCUUCAACAUGGUGUUGAGCCUGUGGGUGCACGGAAGUCAAGAACUGAGGUUUUGGAACUUCCACCCAGAUUUCAGAAGAUGUAUAGAAAUGCCUGGAUAGGCCGGGCGCGGUGGCUCAAGCCUGUAAUCCCAGCACUUUGGGAGGCCGAGGCGAGUGGAUCACGAGGUCAAGAUAUCGAGACCAUUCUGGUCAACAUGGUGAAACCCCGUCUCUACUAAAGAUACAAAAAAUUAGCUGGGCAUGGUGGCAUGUGCCUGUAAUCCCAGCUACUCAAGAGGCUGAGGCAGGAGAAUUGCCUGAACCCAGGAGGCAGAGGUUGCGGUGAGCUGAGAUCGCACCUUUGCACUUCAGCCUGGGUAACAAGAGCAAAACUCCGUCUCAAAAAAAAAAAAAAAGAAAUGCCUGGAUACCCAGGCAGAAGUCUGCUGCAGGGCAGGGCUCUCAUGGAGAACUUCUGCUAGAGCAAUGCAAAAGGAGAAGAGAAAUGUGGGGUCAGAGCCCCCACAUAGAGUCCCUACUGGGACACUGCCUAGUGGAGCUGUGAGAAGAGGGCCAUCAUCCUCCAGACCCCAGAAUGGUAGAUCCGUUGACAGCUUGCCCUGUGUGCCUGGAGAAUCCACAGACACUCAAUGCCAGCCUGUGAAAGCAGCCAAGAGGGAGGCUGUGCCCUGCAGUGCCACUGGGUCUGUGCUGCCCAAGACCAUGGAUACCUACCUCUUGCAUUAGCAUGACCUGGAUAUGAGACAUAGAGUCAAAGGAGAUUCAUUUUGGAACUUUAAAAUUUGCCCUGCAGGAUUUUGGACUUGCAUGGGCCCUUAACCCCUUUCUUUUGGCCAAUUUCUCCCAUUUGGAAUGGCUGUAUUUACCCAAUACCUGUACCUCCAUUUUAUCUAGGAAGUAACUAGCUUGCUUUUGAUUUUACAGUCUCAUAGGCAGAAGGAACUUGCCUUAUCUCAGAUGAGACUUUGGACUGUGGACUUUUGAGUUAAUGCUAAAAUGAGUUAAGACUUUGGGGGACUGUUGGGAAGUCAUGAUUGGUUUUGAGAUGUGAGGACAUGAAAUUUAGGGGGGCCAAAGUUGGAAUGAUAUGGUUUGGUUCUGUGUCUGUACCCAAAUCUCAUCUUGAAUUGUACUCCCAUAAUUCCCACAUAUGUGAUGGACCCAGUGGAAGAUAAUUAGAAUCAUGGGGGUAGUUUCCCCCAUAUUGUUCUCAUGUUAGUAAGACUCACAACAUCUGAUGGUUUUAUCAGGGGGUUCUGCUUUUGCAUCUUCCUCAUUUUUGUCUUGCUGCUGCCAUGUAAGAAGUGCCUUUUGCCUCCUGCCAUGAUGCUGAGGUCUCUCCAGCCACAUGGAACUGUAAGUCCAAUUAAACAUCUUUUUCUUCCGGGUUAUCAGCAGCAUGAAAAUGAACUAAUACAUCAGCUUUUGUAAAUAUGGCAAGUUUUCCAAAGUAUACAUUAAAAUCUUUUAUAAAGCAUCAAGUAAAAUACUGACAGCCAAUAGAAGAAUAGGUAAAAGACUUGACAAAAAGGAAGCCAAGUAAUAAGAAUAGCACAACUUUUGAAAAUGUUAAGUCUUUUUAAUGGAGUUUCGCUCUUGUUACCUAGGCUGGAGUGCAAUGGCGCAAUCUCGGCUCACUGCAACCUCCGCCUCCUGAGUUCAGGCAAUUCUCCUGCCUCAGCCUCCUGAGUAGCUGGGAUUACAGGCACGAGCCACCACGCCCAGCUAAUUUUUUGUAUUUUUAGUAGAGACGGGGUUUCACCAUGUUGACCUGGAUGGUCUCGAUCUCUUGACCUCGUGAUCCACCCACCCUGGCCUCCCAAAGUGCUGGGAUUACAGGCAUGAGCCACCAUGCCCAGCAUCUAUAUUUAAAAUGUUUGUUUCAAGGUAGCUAAUUCUUUAUUAUAUAUUCUAUCAAAAAAUUGUUUAAAAUUUAUGAAAUAAAUGGAUACAUCAAUGGUUAUGUUUUAUCUGUAGUAUAAUGGUUCAGAAAUUGAAAAUACUUAUAUUAUUUUUCAUUAAAGUCCGUAUUUUUAUAAAGCUUAUCCAUUUCACUUAAAUUUAGAAAACAAUAUUUUAAAAUCUCCAAAGUGAUGGUAUCUGGUUAAAUUGUCUUCAAUUUAUUCAACUAAUAAUUAAUAAUCAAGUUCAAAGCAAACCAAUAAAAAGGAUAUUCAGAUAGAUUUAACAAUUAUCUUAGUCCACUACUUAGUAAAACCAAAUUUUCAUAAAUAUUAUUAAAAUUUUUUACAAAUUACAGAUAAAUGGAAUACACCAAACAAAGCUCCUCCUUCCUUGUAGUUUUUAUUUUAGUGUUUGGAGGGAAUAUUUAGUGUUUCGUUCAAAAUUAUUGCAAUACAAGACUGCGAUACAAGUUAUGCUGUUAUCUUGAAUGUAAAGAAGCAAUGAUGAAUGCACUGAAAAAUAAGCAGUGAAAAAAAUACAAGGCAUUUGCAGGACUAAAGCUCCUCCAUGAGCUCUUGACCUCACAUAUGUACAAAUUAAUUUACCAAAAUAAAAGAGCUAUAAUGUUAAUGUGGCCUGGACAAUUUUUAAGAAAUAUGCCAAUUUUAUUCUCUUUUCUGAAAGUGCAAAGGAUAGAGAAAAAAAAGUAAGAAGAAAAAUUCUGUGACCAAAGAGAAUAUAAAUGGAAACUACAAUCUAAAUCUCAAGUAUUUUAACAGCAAAAAGCAUAUGUUAGAGAGAGAGAGAGAGAGACCUUAUAUUAGUAAGGUCAGCCUUACAUUAGUAUAUUCUUGCUGAAUCUUUGACUGACCUACCAGAUGUUCAUCACAGGCACACUUCACUUCUAUUAUGCCAUCUGGUUUUGUUCGUUUUCUAUUUGAAUUUCUACUGAAUCCAUUCUCUCGUAAUAAACGUGGAAAUUUUGGUUGUUUUAAUUUUAUUAUUGUACACUCCAUUAUCUUUGAAUUCCUUUAACUGGAACAUUAUUAAACUUGUCUCUUAUAAAUGCCUACUCUUAUUUGUCAUUGUACUCCUAAAGAACCCUAACCCUUUGGUAUUUGAGGUAUUCUUGGAAGUCCUUUUAGGAACAUGGAUUUUGCUGAUGGAUUUGACUGGGACUUUGAAAUAUAAUGGUUUUAUGUUAAUCUUGCCUAUUAAUGUUUUAUGUCUUAAGGCUGGAGACUUGGUUCCUAUUCCUGAAUUUUUUAGCUCUGUUUCCUAUAAAGGCUCAUAGCUAGCUUGACUUGGGAUCUGUAAUAAGUAAGAGAUUUGGUCACUUAACCUUUUCUCUCUCUUGUCAUUGGGUGGAUUCUAUGAACUGAUCUUUCUUAGGCUUCCAUUAAACACACUCUUGAUUCUAGAACUAAAGACAAAUAGAUAAUCUCAUAAAUAUUUAUAAAUAUUGGUAGUAUUUUCAUAUGAAAAGAUUUAAAGAGAAUUCUUGGAAACCAGCACAGUAGAAGUAAGAGCAAUGAAACAAAGCUACAGGAAGAAAUGUUCAGCUUUGUAUAAAGCAAGUGUUAGCAUUCACAGUUUUAUAAACUUGCCUCUGGGAGGCAGUAGGGUGUAGAGGUUGAGUAUGGCUUCCCAUUGACUUCAAAUCCAGUACACCAGUCGGUAUUUGUGUGAUCUGUGCCUUGGUUUAUUCUGUGAAAUAGGUAUAAUAGUAAAUCCUCCCCCAUUGGGUUUUUGUGAGGAUUAAAUGAGAUACUUCCUGCCGGGCACUUACAAUUGUGUCUGGUACAGAAUAAACGUUCAAUAAAAGUUAGCUUUAUUAUUAUGGAAUAGGCUGUCUGCCUUUGUAUGUUCUCCAUCAUUAGAGGAAUUUAAGCAGAGGUGAAAUAAUAAAUUGGUAGAGAUUUUAUAGUUAAGAUUCAAGCAUUGGAUAGCUCCUUCAACCCCUCAGAUUUGUGUUUCUAUUUUUUUAAUUUCCCGUGAAUAUCAAGGUAACUUUCAUAUUGACAAUGGUGGUAUUAACCUAUAUAACAUGCUUUUUUCCUGGUCGUUCAAUUUCAAUGAUACAGUCUCCUGUAGGCAAUCUGGGACCUCAGAGUACGGCAAAGAAAACCACUGCUUAAGUCCAGUCUACAUGCUGACCUCAUGAAGCAAACCAACUGUAGAUGCCAGAGACCUAAACAGAUAGACUGUGAAUUCAGUUUGAGGAAGACACUGCAGAACAGAUGGAGUUUCGCUGUUGUUACCCAGACUGGAGUGCAAUGGCACGAUCUCAGCUCACCGCAACCUCUGCCUCCUGAGUUCAAGCAAUUCUCCUGCCUCAGCCUCCCGAGUAGCUGGGAUUACAGGCGCGAACCACCAUGCCCAGCUAAUUUUUGUAUUUUUAGUAGAGACGGGGUUUCACCUUGUUGACCAGGAUGGUCUCGAUCUCUUAACCUCGUGAUCUACCCGCCUUGGCCUCCCAAAGUGCUGGGAUUAUAGGCGUGAGCCACCUUGCCCGGCCCUGAGUUCUAUUUUUGUUCUUUUUUUAAUUACCUUAAAAUUUUUACUGUAAAAAUAUAAAGGCAUACAGAAAAAAUGUAAUGAAUCCCCAUGUAUCCAUCACCCCGCUUCAACAUUUAUGUACUCAUAGCAAUUCUUGUUUCAUCUUCAAGCCCAUCUAUCCUCCAAACAUAUUUUGUAGCAGAUACCAAACACCAUAAAUGUAUAUUCAUAAUAAUUUUCUUAAAAAACAUUUCUUCUCUGAUGAUUCCAUUAUCUCUGUCAUUCGGGAUCUGUUUCUGUUUGAUAGUUUCUUUCCCCUUUUCCUGGUUAGGGUCUACACUUCCCUGCUUCUCUUGCAAAUUUUUGAUUGGAUUCCAAACAUUGUAGUUGCUGCUGUAUUUUGCUGAAUUUCCUUAGAUAUUUUUAAAUUUUGUUCUAGGAUGCUGCUAAAUUACUUAGAAGCUGUUUCACCCUUUAAGUCUUCUUUCCAAGCUUUGUUAGGGCAGGUCCAGAACAGCUGUUCCUCAGGGGAUUUAUGCGAUUCCGCCUCACAGGUAAUAACCUUCCAAGGAGUCUACUCAAUACCCUACUUAGUCAGGGGUCUUUCCCCUCAGAUUGAUUAGAACAUGUAAUAUUCCCUAUCCCUUGGAUCUUUAGGGAAGAGUCCACCUAUUCCCUUCCGUUGAUCCUUUCUCAAGUUUUAUGUUGUUUCCUCCACAAUCUCCACAUGCAGAUAAAUUCUCUGUCAUAUUCUGAAGCAGACUCCUGGACCUGUACAGAUCUCUGGAGCCCAUUUUUUGUGUGUGCAGUUCUCGUCUUCCUGAAAUUACACCUGGAAAUCUAGCCGGUUUGCCUUUCUUAACUCUGAGUUCUGUCUUUUCAACUCAGCACUACUGUCAGGGUCUGUUUGGGGGCCUCUUCUCACUACUAUAGCCUGGAAGCUCUCUUUUUUAACAAUAAACUGGGGUAAUUUAUAAGGGGCUUGUUUCUUUUGUUUCUCUCUUUUUUUAAAAAAGAUUAUUGUUCUAUACGGCUUGUCAUCUAAUGUUUCAUGUAAUAUUAUCUAGUUUUCCAGUUGUUUAACUUUGAAGUCAAAAUUAAAAUGCCAUUAAUUUUUAACACCGAAAGUUGAAGACCUUCUAUGGUUUUCUCUGGCUUCUGUCUAUACAGCUUCAUAUGCCAUUAUCUCUAGCAUUUCUUUUUCUCUUAAUAACCAGGAUUAAUCAUCCAAGCCAGUAAUAAAGAUCGGCUCACUUUUGUUCUAUUUGCUUAAAGGCAUGAAGAAUCUGAAAUAUCUAAGUGGCAAUCUUGGAUUCCAGUGUAAUAGUACCAUUUUUGUGUACCUAGAGGAAGCAUUUCUUCCCUCAGUGUUGAACUUUCAAAAAGGAUAGAUCCUAGAUUAACUGUAACAGAAAAUAUGUCACCUACAGACCUCUAGUUCUUCACAUGGAGGCUCCAACUAGGUUCCCAGCUUAGACCACCACUGCAGAUGCUAGGACAGGACCCAGAGAAGUCACAGGAGGAAAGGUGAUUACUCAAGGAAAGAAAAGCAUAGGUAUUUGCCUAAGGCUAUCUCUCCUUCAAGGCGAAGGGGACAAGAUAAACCAUUAAAAGGUUUUGUCUUCGUAUUCUCCUACACAUACUUUUUAAAGGGUCAACCCUGGAUUGGGCUGUAAAGUGUCAGCUGUGAAUUUCUGUCUGGUGCCAGUAAAUUAUGUAGUAAUACCUGUAAAUAAGGCUUGAACUUUUCCCCUUCUGGUCAAUUAAUAAUAAGAAACUCCCCAUGAGUCAUAAAGAGAGACUGAAGGAGGGUGGCAGAGCAAAAUACAUAUGCAAGUUGGGAAUGAAAAUGAGUUGUUAAUGCAGUUUACUUGUGUUUUCAGUCUUCUUUAUCUGGACCCAUAUAUCUCACUUCCAAUAAUGUAAUGCCAUUGAGUGUGUCUAAGUCUAGGAAGUCAAAUAACCCCAUUUUUUUAAAGCAAUGGUGUCAUGUUGCCACCUGAUGUUCCAAAGUCAGACUUUCUUUUUUGUUGUUAUUUUUAUUUCUGAACCCAACAUUAUGAACAUACCAAAGUCAGAUUUCAUUCUCUGCCAGAGACCAAUCAAGAGCUGUUUCUGAAAAGAGGACUGUUACCGCUAAAAUACAUGGCGUUGCUUUAAAACCUUGGGAGCCAACACUAGAUUUUUCCCCUCCAGAUGUACCAAAAGUGCCACAACUGAUCACAGACAUUCGAGUAUUAUUAAAGCUUCAUUGUAGUUGCAUUACAUUUUUGUUCAGUUUACACUUGUGCUGGGAUCCAUUUGAGGUAUUCAGUCUUGGACAGGCACGGUGGCUCAUACCUGUAAUCCCAGCAAUUUGGUAGGCCAAAGAAGGCAGAUCACUUGAGGCCAGGAGUUUGAGACCAGCCUGACCAACAUGGCAAAACCCUGUCUCUACUAAAAAUAUAAAAAUUAGCUGGUGUGAUGGCAUGCAUCUGUAAUUCCAGCUACUCCAAAGGCUGAGACAGGAGAAUCGCUUGAACCUAGGAGGUGGAGGUUGCAAUGAGCCAAGAUCCUGCCAUUGCACACUAACCUGGGCAGCAGAGCCAGACUCUGUUUGAAAGAAAAGUAUUCAUUCUUUUGGAAAAUCUGACAAAUGGAUAUAAACAGUAUGUUUAAAUAUGAUAUUGGUUACUUCCAAAAUCAAAAGAUGUUUACCAAGCCAUGUGCCUUUUUUUUUUAUAGUAGGCAGUAAGAAGGUAUAAGAACUUCCCCUUUCCUUUGGAGAAGGUAUCUUGGCAUGCUCAAUUUCACUGGCUCUUCAGAAAUUUUAUGGAAGUGGCAGAUCCCUGUAUUUUAGUGGAAUUGGUGUCCUACGCUCUGGCACACAAGAAUUUUAUGAAGGCAUCAUGCGUAUCUGCGAUUACAUUGGCAUCAAUAUAAGGGACCAGCAUGAGCUCCUGUGAAAUGAUAAUACAAUAAAUGUUUCCAUGAACUCAAUUGUGGCAUAGAACCAGUGAGCUGUCACCACUCUGGAACAAGAUAGAAAAGGUAUCCUGCUUUCCUUCGAGGCAAAAGAAACUUACGUGUUUUUGAUUAGCAUAGAAUAAAAGUACUUACUGCAUCAAUAGCUGCAUGUCAUAUGCCAGUGGUACCAGUUUGCCCCAGCAAAAAGGUACAUCUGCAGUAGUUUCUAUAACUGGAGACACAAAUUAAUGAAAACAAUUAUUUAUAAAUCAUAGAAAACAUUUAAUGUGAUAGUAUUUUUUAGACAAUUGAAUACUUAAAUGUUUAUUUCUUGACUGCUUUUUUUCUGAUACAUAUAUUCAAUAAUUUGCAAAUUUUAAGAGUAAAUCACAUGUGAUACAAAUUAAUAUUUGACUUUAAUAUGCAGAAAAUAUAGUCUAGGAUUGUUUCAUCUGAUUCAUAUUUCUGUGUGAUUCUGGAAGGCCAUUAUGAAUGGUGGCUUUUUAAUAUCUUCUUUGAAAUAGUAAAUGUGUGUUUAAAAAUGUAUCCCUUAUAAUAUCAGUGUUUUUUACUCAUAUAUUUGCUUUCUGAUUUGUUAUUUAACAUUAAUCAAAGAUUUAAAGUUCUAUCAAGCAGAUAAUGAACUUUAUUCAUUUUAAGAAACACUGUGGUUUUAGGGAGGAGGCCAUUUAUUUAUUUGUUCAAUAAUAAACAAGUCUGGCUAUUUAUCUAGACUUUAACAUAAUGUGAUGACUUACAACGGAAUGUGUUUCUCCACUCUGAAAGAUGAAUAUAAUCAUUUACUUGUGCUGUUUCUUGUGAAAAUACAUUUUAAUCUGGUAAUAUUUUAUGAUCUAACACGGUGACUGCUUUUACUAUAUUAGAAGAUUCCUAACUAGAUACAAUUGAAUUAUUAAACAGUAAAUAAUUCUCAUUUUCUUGUGUGUCUGAUUCUCUUGUUUUCAAUUACAACUCCUGGUCAUAAAAAUGUAAAUUUAAUAUGUAAAUUAAAUUCACUUCAGUAAAUAUAUUCAUAGCAGCUUUAGGUAAAAAUAAAACUACCUUUCAGCUAAUCCCAAAAUGUAAAUCAUGCCACUUUAUAAAAUGAAUAUGCAUAAUUUUUUUCAGGAAAAAACCCAAAACACAAAAACUGUAACUGUAAUUUCUUUCAAGAUUGUUACAUUUAUGAACGAAAAGGGCAUGGACUGAAAAUUUAGAUGAAUCAAGCACAAUACAUAGAAAUUUAUGGUUUCAAUGAUUUUUUAAAAUGUGUUUGUUUUUGAGACAGAGUCUCACUCUGUCGCUUAGGCUGGAGUGCAGUGGUGCUAUCUCAGCUCACGGCAGCCUUUGCCCUGCUGGGUCCAAGUGAUUUUGGUGCAUCAGCCUCUCAGAUAGCUGGGAUUACUCGUGUGCCACCGUGCCUAGCUAAUUUUUUUUUUUUUUUUUUUUUUGCAUUUUUAGUAGAGAUGGGGUUUUGCCAUGUUAGCCAGGUUGGUCUUGAACUCCCAGCCUCAAGUUAUCUGCCUGCCUUGGCCUCCCAAAGUGCUGGGACUACAGGUAUGAGCCACCAUGACUGGCCUUCAGUGACUCUUUGGACACAUAAGAUAUUGAGCUAUUGCAAGGAUGUAGCAAUGGCUAAAUAAGCAUUAUUAUAUACCUAGUGUGCAAAAGUUCUAUAAAAUGCUAAGUAUGAAAGCUCAGGCUGCUGACAAUAAUAUCAAGUCAUUGGCUAUUCUAAUUUAACAAACAUUUAUUGAAUGCCUACUAAGUACCAAAUUUGUGUUAGACACUAAGGAUUAAAGGUAAAAAAGUCAUAAACUCUAUUCUUGAAGAGCUUAUUUUCAUACCUAGGGAGAAAGGCAUAUAACCAAUACUUAGAAUUCAAUGUGCAGUAGUAGAGAUUUUAAAAUGUUGAGGAUAGACUCACAGAUUUGCAUGGAGAAGUGGUAAAGGCUCCAUAAAUGAUGUGAAUUUUGAGCAUUGGGAGAUAUAAAAUAUGGUAAAUGUACCAUAUUUUGCUAUUCAGAAAGUUGUUUAUAUAAGGUAUUAAGGACAUAGCAUAGUUAACUCUAUCUAUUGUCUGUUGCUGCCUAACAAAUCACCCCAAAGCCAGUGGCUUAAGACAAAAAUACUUUAUUAUUGUAGAUAAUGCAUCCAUAAAGACUGUUUGAAUUCCCACAGAAAGUUAAUCAGUUCUCUGUUCUUACCUUGCAGCCUUGUGCUAUAGUUAUAAACUAUAUAUAUAACUAUAUAUAGUAUAUAUUAAGUAUAGUUAGUGGUUUCCUUCUGUAGAUAGCAGCUGAGUAAACUAUUGUUCACAAGACAAGCUGGACUGCCACCUAGUUUUGAAAAUAAAGUUUUAUUGGGCUAUAACCAUGAUCAUUUAUUUACUUAUUAUACAUGGCCGCUUUUGUGCCACAACAUUAGAGCUGAGUAGUUACAAUAGAGAUUGAUGGUUUGCAAAGCUGAAAACCACAGCCACCACCCCCUAACUCUGGACUACAGUUGUCCAACAGAACUUUCUGUGAUGUUAAUGUGGCUAUAAAGCACUUGAAAUGUGGUUACUGUGACUGAGAAACUGAAUUUUAAAGUUUACUUAAUUUUAGUUCAUUUAAGUUUAGACUGCUACAUGAGCCAUUGCAAAUGGCUACAUAUUGGACAGCCUAGUUCUAGACAGUAAGUUCCCUAAAGCCAGUAACCAACUUUUGGUUAUCUUUUUUACCCCAUGAUAUUCCAUCACGCCCCGUAUACAGCUUUAUACUUAGCAGACUCAGUUGUUCUCUCAUCAAAUAUUUAUUGAAUUAAAUUUAUCAUGGUCGUUUUUACUUAUUUUGGUCAAACUUUGUGAAAUACUUAAAGCUCAAGUAUUUUUCUUGCGAUGAUUAGUCUUUCAGUUCAAAUGCCCAAUGACUUCCUGAAAAUGUCUCCAAAUGUUCUAGCCUACAGGAAUUUUUCUCUCUGAAGGAGCAGCCAUCUUCAAGGGUGUAAUUCAUAGCAUAAAGAAUUUAACUUAGGAUAAUGGCCUCCAGCUGCAUCCAUGUUGCUGCAAAGGACGUGAUUUUUUUCUUUUUCUUGGUUGUGUGGUAGUCCAUGAUGUAUAUGGAAUUAUACACUAUUACCUUGUGUUAGACACUAAGCAUUAAAUUAAAUAGACACAAUUAUACACUAUUACCUACCACAUUUUCUUUAUGCAGUCAAUUAUCCUAAGCAAAUUAACUCAGGGACAGAAAACCAAUCCCACAUGUUCUUGCUUAUAAAUGGUCACUAAACAUUGGGUAUUCAUGGACAUAAAGAUGGGACCAGUAGACACUAGAGGUAGGAGGGAAGAAAGGGGGCAAGGGUUAGAAAACUGUUGGGUACUAUGCUCUCUUAUGUGGGUGACUGGAUCAUUCAUACACCAAACCUAAGCAUCACACAUGUAACCAACCUCCCUGUAACAAACCUGCUAUUGCACCCCCUAAAUCUACUAUAAAAGUUGAUAUUUUUUAAAAAAGAAUUCAACUAAGUGCCCAGCUUUGGCCACUAUCUCAGAUGCUGGGGCAAGGCCCUGCCACUGCAGAGCAGGCCUGGGAGGGAAAGUGAUUCCUCAGGGAAAGAAAAGCUCACCUGGCAUCACAAGGCCUAUAGCUCUUGAUGACUCGUCCUGACUUCCCACACAGUCACUUCGCCCAGUGGUGAAGUCAGCCUCCGGAGGGCUGAAGCAACACUUCAAGAACUACAGUUCCCUUUUCUCAAAGACUUAGUUGGGGGGCUGGCUUAUCCAUGCUAUUUCUCUGUUACCUCAAGGUAGAUUUAUGUCUAUGAUUUUACCACCCUGCUCUACCACUGUGUCUUGAAGGAGCCUGUCUGUUUUUUCCACAAGUCUUGUAGACUUUGAAUAUCAGAGAAUAAAAAUUGGCAUACAGAUCACUCCUUCUCAGUGGCAUCUAAUGCAAGUUGGUUCUUUAUGUGCCAGGAGGAAGGGCAACCUUGUUAAAUAAAAGGUGCUGUUAUACUUUCCAAAAGCAGGUGCCUUCUUGUCUUACAUUUGCAUAACUUUAAAUAGUACCACUUAAGGCUAGCAGAAAAGGGAAGUCAGCUUGGAGGCAACAAUCUCUUCUUGUUAUUCUAUAAGACAGAUGCUUUAAUGAGCAAAAUUUAUGUGCUUCCACUUAUAGACUGAUGGAAGGGAGGAAAGAAGAAUGAAGGAAAGAAGAAAGGAAAAAAGAAAAACUUUAAAAUGCUUUGAUAGAUAUGUUUAUAUAGUUUUUUUAUUUUGUAGUAUAUCCAAUCUGUUUCCUCAAUCCUUUAUUGGUGACCUUUUAACUUUUCCACCACUUUCAUUAUUAUAAAUAACUGCAAUUUCACAUAUAUCCUUGCGUAGCUGAUAGGGUUUUUCUACAGGAUACAUUGAGAGAAUGUACGAUUUAUAAUUUGACAGAUUGACAAAUUGCCUUCCAAAAAUGUUUGCUACAUAAAAAUCUGUAUUUCUGUUUUCUCUUGGAAAAUUGAAAGUUUGGCCAUUCUGGGCCUAAACUGCUACUAGGUAACAAUGUGCAACAGUUGAACAAGAGUUUCAGGCUUUCGACUGGUCCAGUUCACUAUUGAGCCCACCAUCCAUACUGCCUGUUUCUUUCAUUUAAGAUACCUGCCAGGUUCAUGAGCCCUUGAGUUUGCAACUCCUGCCUCAGCACAUAGCACACAACCAGUGAGUUCCCAGGAAGUGGUUGUUUCUGGAAUAACCAGAAAAAAAAAAAUGGUUGCUCAACUCCUUUGUAGUUUUAAAAGCUAGGGAAAAAAUGGGUAAAAUCUAAAGAGGAUUUUGAAAGCCAGACUGUUUAUUAGUAGUAGGAUGGGAGCUAUGAUUCAGGCAUCAUGAGAUAAUUUACUCUGCCACCAACUUGCUACUGUAUAAAUGUUCACGUGAGGUUUCCUCUCUGAUAUGUUCUGAGGAAUCAAGAGAGCAGAGUAUAAUAGACUCAUUUGCAUAAGAAGUAGUUCAAAGUCAAAGCUGUUAUUUUUCAAAUAUUAUUUUAUUUAUUUCUUUUUUAACUUUAAGUUCAGAGGUGCAAGUGCAGGUUUGUUACAUAGGUAAACUUGUAACAUGGGGGUCUGUCUUACAGAUUAUUUCAACACUCAGGUAUUAAGCCUAGUACCCAUCAGUCAUUUCUCCUGAUCCUCUCCUUCCUCCCACCCUCCAGCCUCUGAAAGGGCCCAGUGUGUGUUGUUCCCCUCUAAGUGUUCAUGUGUUCUCAUUGUUUAGCUCCACUUAUAAGUGAGAACAUGUAGUAUUUGGUUUUCUGUUUCAGUGUUAGUUUGUUAAGGAUAAUAGCCUCCAGGCUCCAUCCAUGUCCCUGCAAAGGACAUGAUCCUAUUCUUUUUUAUGGCUGCAUAAAAUUCCAUGGUAUACAUGUACCUCAUUUUCUUUAUCCAGUUCUACCAUUGAUGGGCAUUUAGGUUGAUUUCGUGUCUUUAUAUCAUGAAUAGUGUUGAAAUGAACAUACACAUGAGUGUGUCUUUAUAAUAGAAUGAUUUAUAUUCCUUUGGGUAUAUACCCAGGAAUGGGAUGGCAGGGUCAGAUGGUAUUUCUGUAUUCAGGACUUUGAGGAAUUGCCACACUGCUUUCCACAAUGGUUGAACUAAUUUACACUUUCACCAACAGUAUAUAAGUGUUCCUUGUUCUCUACAACCUCACCAACAUCUGUUUUUUACUUUUUAGUAAUAGCCAUUCUGACUGUUGUGAGAUGGUCUCUCAUUGUGGUUUUUAUUUGCACUUCUCUAAUAAUCAGUGAUGUUGCAGAGCCCUUUUUUUAAAAAUAGAAAAUUAAUUCAAUUUAUUUGAAAAUAUAGUUAUUUCAGGCCAGGCAUGGUGGCUAACGCCUAUAAUCCCAGCAUUUUGGGAGGCCGAGGCGGGUGGAUCACGAGGUCAAGAGAUAGAGACCAUCUUGGUCAACAAGGUGAAACACCGUCUCUACUAAAAAUACAAAAAUUAGCUGGGCAUGGUGGUGCGUGCCUGUAAUCCCAGCUACUCAGGAGGCUGAGGCAGGAGAAUUGCCUGAACCCAGGAGGCGGAGGUUGCGGUGAGCCGAGAUCGCGGCAUUGCACUCCAGCCUGGGUAACAAGAGCAAAACUCCGUCUCAAAACAAAAAACAAAAAAAAGGAAAAUAUAGUUAUUUUAAUGAUGAUGUAAAUAGAUAUAUGUCAAACAAAUAAAUGAGAUAGGAAGUAGGAAGUUCUUUUUCUCUCUAACCUACCUGCAAGUGGCCUGGGUAUGAAAUUAUUUGUUACUUGUUAAAAGACUGAACUACAUCUUUACCUAAAGUGCAAUGCUAGGCCAUCUGGGAAAAGCCUUUUUAGCCCAUACAUAGUUAGCUGUAAUACAACUUCCAAUUCUUGAGAGCCUGUCCAGUCUUCAGUCGUUCUCAACGUGUAUAUGAAUGAGAGUGGAGGUAAGGAGAGGUUUGGAGUGUCUGAAAAGUGGGUUCUUUCUAAUAGACAAUGCUAAUGGUAACAUUUAUAGAGGGCUGAGAAGAAUGAGAAUAUUAGGGGUAGGCCUAUAAAGGGGAUGCAGGACAGGGUGUGGGGUCAAGUCUCUAGUGGUGUAGGCGGGAGAGCUGCAAGGUUUUCUGUGUGUAGCAGCCAGGCAUUACUGAGCUCUACCUUCAAGAAUAAAUUUAGCUAAAAGGAGUAUGGCUAGCUCCUAACCUCCAGUUGCAGUGCCUUCAGGACACAUCUUAGCUUUGGGGCUGAGGAAAUGCUCUUCCUGGUCAGCUUCCAACCAGUAACUGAACACUAAAGAGGUAAGGAGAGCUUGCCAUUUCUGUCCAGCAUGGAACUCUUCUAACAGACAAUAUUUUCUCCAAGCUAUCCAUUGGGUUGCUUGAGACUUUAGCAGACAUGCCUUCUGGUUUGAGCCAAAUACACUUUCACUUCCUCAUGAUUUUCUUAAUAAUAUUUUUUUCUUCUAGCUUAAUUCAUUGUAAGAAUACAGUAUAUAAUACAUAUAACAAAAUAAGUGUUAAUUGCCUAUAUUAUUGGUAAGGCUUCUGUUCGACAGUAGGCUAUUAGUAGUUAAGUUUUUGGGAGUCAAAUUUAUACACCAAUUUUUGACUAUGCAAGGGUUGGUACUGUAGUUGUUCAGGGGUAAACUAUAUGUAUAUUUAGAGAUUCACUAAGUGCAUCUGAUGCAAAUGGUACAAAGUAUAGGAGAUUAAAUUAAUUAUGUACAAAUGCUAUGAGAAUUUUUUACAGCAUUAAUUACAUACCUCUAUGCUUAACAUUACUUAAUUUUUUAAUGGAAGAAAAAAUAAGUUCGUGUACUUUCAAUUUGUAUUGCCUUUUCACAGGGACCAUUCGUAUAAUAUUUUCUCAUAUCAUUUUCUUGAACAGAAUAUUUUUGAUGUGUUGACAUGCCUGAUUUCUGAAGUUGCACAAGAGAUUUAUGUGCAUCUCUUUUCACCUGACAUUGUAGUAUCUGCUAAAAAGAGAACUGUAUAGAUUUUGGAUUCAUAUUCUUCUGUCUUUCAGAAUUUAUAAACCCAACUUCUCUAUACUUAUCAUUGGAUUUGAAUCCCUAAGAUACUGUUUAAAUUCUUUCCCUCUUACGAGUUUUCUGUUUCUUCACUGAAAAUCUUAAACAUGUGAUAUCACUGGCUUGUCGAUAAGGAAAUAAAGAAUUAAUUCAAAGGAAAACCCAGAAAAUACAAAAACGAGUCUAAAAGCAAACCUCAGGAGUGUAAUUUUUUAUGUCUACAUUUAUGUUUUUCAUAUUUAUGUUCACUGCAAGUAGCCAUAUGCAUCUUUUACUAAUGUAUAUAAACAAGUAAACACAAAAUUGAUUUAUGUAUUUAUUUACUUACAUUUCAAGAUUCUCUGGAUAUAGCUUAGGUGGAGAGAGCACGGGAAACAAAGCAUGAAUCUAACCUGAGUGGUACCCCUUAAAGAGACUUAAUUCUCUUUCUUUUUGCCCUAGGCAGCAAGCAAAUUGUCAGGAAUUUAUCAAAAUUUUCACUAAAAGACUUAAGAUGAUGCUCUGUAGAAGAUAACUUGACAAAAUCUUUACUCUUUAGGUUCAAGUUAUUUCUCCAGUGUUUAUGUUUUUAUAAGAUUUUUUAAGUAAGGAUAAUUAAAGCCUUUGUUUUAAAACGCAUCUUCAAGUAAUUACAUAUUUUCUGUCAGUAGGCAUUUUUUGGUCUUUUUUAAAAAAAAUGUGCUCAUGAUUGCACUAUUCUUAUCAGCAUGCUGUUUUACUUAUUUGAUGAAUGGUGCAUGUUUAAUGUGUUUAAUACUAAAUAGUCUUUAAUGCCAUAUCAUACUUCUGUCAUCUCUUAGGUCUUCAAGUGCAGUUUUUAUAUGUACAUGUUUGUCUGUGUGUUUUAAACUACUCUGACACACUUCAGAUGAGAACAGCUAAAAACAGUGUAUUAGUUAAAGAGGAGUAUUGUCCCUGCAGAAACCUUCUAUUAAAUCAUUGAUCAUUUAUUGGUAGUGGUCUUUGAAUUAGACUAUCUAUAUAUGCACAUUAGGUUCCUAGAGGUUCUUUAACAAGGUACCACAUCCUGGGUGGCUUUAAACAGCAGAAAUUUUUCUCUUACAGUUCUAGGAUUUAGAAGUCCAAAGUCCAGGUGUCAGCAGGUGUGGUUCCUUCAGAAGUUCCUGAAAGAGAUCUGUCCAUGUCUCUCUUCUAGCUUCUGGUGGUUGUAUGAAAUUCUUGAUGAUCCUUGGCUUGCAGAUGCACCCUUCUGCUUCUUCCUUCACACAGUAUUUUCCCUUGUGUCUAUCUCUUCUAUUUCUUAUAUUUUCUCAUUUGUUUUCAAACCUGUCAUUUCUUUCACUAUACAUCUUUCUUCUCAUGAUGAAUUGAAGGGAAUUAUUAUGACUUGUAAUUGUCUCAUAUUUAAUCCUGGAACCAUUAAUAUUUGUUGCUAGUAUGUGAAAUACAACUUCUUUACUAAAACCAUUGCAAUAUGAAAUGGUUUAAAUAUUCUGAACAUUUACAUCAAAGUGUUCAUCAUCUGAUACCCAAACUCUUCCAAAUCUGUCAAUGUCUGAUCAGAAUCUCUCAAUCUAUUAAUUAAACAAUUAAGUUUUGUCAUUUUCAGUUCCCUUAUUCUAAAAUAUUUCAAAGUCACUUAAGUUUUAAGUUAAAUGCCAUGUCAUAUUAUAAGCACGGCUCUUCUGUUGACAUAGGAGCUUGGUAUGUACUCACAAAGACAUUGGAUGUGCAGUGAAGAAAACACAGGCUUUAGACAGAAGCUGGAUUCAAACCCUUGUUUUGCUACUAUUACAUUUUAAAUCUUGAACAAGCUAGUUAACUUUAUCUGUAAAAUAGUGCUAUUCAUUUAGAGGAUUAAAUGACAGUAGCUAAUACUUAUGUAGCAUUUAUUAUAUGAUAAGCAUUGUUCUAAGUACAUUACAUAUAUUAACUUUAUUAUCCCCAUAUUAAAGAAGGGAAAGUGAGACACAAGAAAGUUUGGUAGCUUUCCCAAGUCAAUUAACUAUAAUGAUACAGAUGGAAUUUGAACACAAGCAUUCUGGUUUCUCCGCACUCUGAAUAACUCCAUAUUGCCUCUCCAGUGAAUCAUUCAUCACAGAGGAGCCUGAUCCAGUAGUCUGUGUACCUUUUGGGUUUUCACUUGGAGAUGCAUUCAGGCACCUCUGUAUAUCUGCAGAUCAAUGGAAAAUUCUUUGGUUUUACUAGAAAACUAGAUUAACGAGGUUCUAAAGAUUCCAAGCUCACAAAGAAAAUUUUCACAUUAAAAAAAUGUUAAGCAUAAUGUCUUCGGAAGGAUGUGGAGGCUGUUCUCUGCCUCUGACCAGUAUUGUUUUCUUUUUAAUUAAUUUAAUGUGGAAGAUGCCUGACUUACUCUCUUUAUAAAUAGGUAUGAAGGAGAAUAUCUUAUAGUCUUUAAUAUGUUCUAAUGAAUAUGAGAGUAUGUGUAGUAUGUGUAGCAUAGGGAAUGUUUAAAUCACUUUGUAGAGUUUGAAACUAUUCAGCAACAAUUAAGUGGCCUGAUAACACUUCAGAGUAACAUACCAGAUGUUUUAAUGUUCUGUUCUCAUCCUAGAUGGCUGGACAGACUUAGCAUAUGUGACUAAUUUAUCGAAAACUUAUGAUGGGGGUCCAUUAUUGUCAACUCAAAUACCUAAAUUAUAAACACUGCAGCAAACAUGCCAGAACAUGAAAAUACCCUCUUCACAUACACAAGAGCAAGGCAUGUUGUGUUCUAGGGACCGAACACUGUUUUUGAUGAAUUAAUCUUAUAACUCCAACAUUCACCAGUGUAAAUAAUUUGAAGGUAAAUUUAACUGAAAGAGACAGUCAAGCUACUCAGCUAGAACUAAGGCUUUUUUGUUUAGGUAGAUACAAAGGGUUAAUUUCUGGUUCAUAGCACUAGAUAGUGGUGGUUCUCUAUCUGAGGAGGGGCUGGGGGAAUCUGGUAGGAGGGUAAAUCAAAAGUGUCUGGUGUAUAUGAGCAGCAGGCUGUGGGAAGCCCUCACUUCACUCCUGAUAACAUAUCUGUCUCCCUGCACUGAGGCUGGAUCAUGCUCAGUCAUAAAAUAUAUAGUCAGAGUAUAUUUUAUGUUUGUGAUACUAUGGAGUUAUUUAUACAAAUUUAAAUCUUUUAAAAAUUAAAUUAUGUAAUAUUUCAAACUCACCAAAUAUACAAAAAGUAAAAUGACAUCCACUUAGAUAUGAUACAUGUUAAACCACUUGGUUGUAAUAGAUCUUUACAUUUUUCUUGCUUGCAUUCAGUUUUCUUUCUUCUCCUCCUCCUUUUUAAAAAAAACUUAUUAAUGUGACAUUUCAAACAUAUAAAAGAAGAAACAACAAUCUUGUGUGAUCUAUAUACAUAUCCACUCCUCCAUCUCCUGAUAUUAUUUGGUAGCAAGUCGUAGACAUAAUUAUUACUUCAUCCAUACAUAUUUUAACAUCAAUCUUUAAAAUAAAAGGAUUAAUUUAAGAAUAGACCUACACUAUCAUAUAGCACCUAAAUAAUAAUUCUUAAAUAUCCUUGAGUAUUCACUCAGUAUUCAAACAUUCCUGUUUUUUUCAUAAUUUAUAAGUUUGUUUGAAUCAGAACCAAAGAGAAGUUCAUACAUUGCAAUUAGUUGAUAGAUUGCUUAGCUCUCAUAAUUUGUACACUCCAAAUUUUGCCGAUUGCAUCCAAGUAGCUCCAUUUACACUUUUUUUUGAUCCCCUGUUUUUCAGUAAAUUGGGGGUUGAAUCUAGACCUUUAUGGGGAUAUAAGCUCUCUUUUUAAAGCAAAAAUAUUUAAUAGAUACCUUGUAUACUUCUAUUGGAGCAUAUAAUGUUGAUUUUGUCUUUCUCUUAUGAUUACUGCUAAGAUCAUCUGAGCAUUUUCUCUUUAAAGAAGUAAAAUGCUACAGAUACUAUUAAAGUCCUAUCCCACCAUCUUUCCCUCCCUAGAGGUAAAUACUAUUCUGAAAUUUGUAAGUUUUGUGUUCAUGCUUGUUUUUACAUGUGAGCUAUAUAUGCAGAUGUUUAUAAACUAGAUUUAAACUGUGUUCACAGUCAGAUACAAUGGUUCACUCCUGUAAUCCCAGCACUUUGGGAGGCCCAGACAGGAGGAUCACUUGAGCCCAGGAGUUUGAGACCAGCGUGAGUAACAUAGUGAGACUCUGUCUCUACAAAAGUUAAAAUUAAAAAAUUAGGCAGGUGUGGUGAUGCAUACCUGCAGUUCCAGCUACUCAAGAGGCUGAGGUAGGAGGAUCUCUUGAGCCUGGGAGGUUGAAGCUGCAGAGAGCCAAGAUCAUGCCACAGCACUCCAGCUGGGUAACAGGACAAGAUUCUGUCUAAAAAAAAAAGAAGUGUCUUUAUAUUUAAAAUUUUUACACAUUUGGUAUCACACUGCAUGAAGACAUUUACAGCUUUCUUUUGGUUUUGAUCUAUGUCAAUGUAUUAGAAUAUAAUUCAUCUUUUAAAACUAUAGUUUAAUUUUGCAUUAUAUGAAUGAAUCCCACUUUAUUUUAUCAAUACCUUUACUUAUGGACAAGUAUGUCAGUUUCACUUUCUCCUAUUAUCAAUAGCAUUGCAAUGAAUAUUCUUGUCUUUGAGUCCUCGUGCAUAUGGACUCAAGUUACUCCAGGGUAGGCACUUAAACGGGAAAUUUCUGAGUUGCAGUGGUGUGCUGAAGUUAAUUCAUGCUGUCUCUUGGGAGUCUGUUAAGUUGUCAGAAUUCUGAAAGGUGGUUAUUAAAAAUAAAAAUUAUUAAAAAUUAAAGUAUAGGCCGGGCACAGUGGCACACGCCUAUAAUCCCAGCACUUUGGGAGGCCGAGGCGGGUGGAUCACAAGGUCAAGAGAUCAAGACCAUCCUGGUCAACAAGGUGAAACCCCGUCUCUACUGAAAAUACAAAAAUUAGCUGGGCAUGGUGGUGUGCGCCUGUAGUCCCAGCUACUCGGGAGGCUGAGGCAGGAGAAUUGCUUGAACCCAGAAGGCAGAGGUUGCGGUGAGCCGAGAUUGUGCCGUUGCACUCCAGUCUGGGUAACAACAGCGAAACUCCGUCUCAAAAAAAAAAAAAAAUUAAAGUAUAUAAACUUAUAAUUAUGUAAAUUAUACUAGAAACAAAAGUAAUAAAUACCUAAAAUUUAUCAUUUGCUAAUUAUUUUACUCCAAUGUACUAUGUUCCUGUUGUACAUACUACAACUGUCUGUGCUCUUGGGGUUAUGUACAUCUAUUGUAAAUCUGCAUGGCGGAAAUACCAUAUAACAGCCUGCUGUUGCUCAUCUCUUCGCAACUCUGAGCUGAGUGGCAUCACAUUGGUAACUUGAAAUUAGCAUGAUGGGGGUGUUUACACCACAGAAAUUGAACACGGCUAUAAUACAAAUCACGGCUUAAUUUACUGUUUUGUUGGUGGUGUCGAUUUGAGAAUGUGAGGGGAAAAUGUUAAUAAUGCAGAUUAAUUUUUAAAAUAUAUCAUGCCACAUUGGGCAUGAUGGCUCACAUCUGUAAUCCCAGCACUCUGGGGGGCCAAGGCAGGAGGAUCACUUGAAGCCAGGAAUUCAAGACCAGACUCAACAAAAAAGCAAGACCCCAUCUCUGUAAAAUAAAAUAAAAUAAAAUGUGUUGGGUGUGGUGUCACAGGCCUGUUGUCCUGGCUACUCUGGAUGCUGAAGUGGGAGAAUCACUUGAACUCAGGAAUUUGAGGCUGCAGUAAGCUGUGAUUGUGCCACUUCACUCCAAUCUAGUUGACAGAGCAAGACCUUGUCUCAAAAAAAUAAAAAGUAUUUCAUGUCUAUAGCCCUUAUGUUGAUUGCAAAUAGCAUUAAAAAAUUGAGGAUAUAUUCUUCCAAUAUUUGAUUAAAGAUAUCAAAGGAUGCAUUUUUAAAAAAUUAUUUUACUGUAGAGAUGGGGUCUCAUCCUGUUGGUCUUGAACUCACACAUUUUUCUUUUUUUUCUCUCUCUCUCUCUUUAUGAGACAAGGUCUUACUCUGUCACCCAGGCUGGAGUAUAGUGGCAUGAACAUGAGUCACUACAGUCUCGACUUCCUAGGCUCAAGAGAUCCUCCCACCUCGGCAAUGCCCCUCUAUUCCCAAAGUAGCUGGGAAGACAGACACAUGCCAUCAUGCCUGGCUAUUUUUUCAGAUUUUUGUAGAGAUGGGGCUCCACCAUGUUGCCUAGGCUGGUCUCAACCUCCUGAUCUCAAGCCGUUUCCCCGGCUUGGCCUCCCAAAGUGCUAGGAUUACAAGCAUGAGCCCCUGCAUUCAGCCCACACUUUUCUUCUGAAAGAAGAUGUAAGAGGGUAUCUAUGUGGACAACAAGGAGGCAUCUCCCAAAUCCAUUUUCAAGAAAGGUCUCAUUGGCCAGCUGUAAGGAAUGUGGAAAACUGUCAGCCUCUAGCUAUUAGCUUUGGGUUUACCUCCGCUUUUAGCUCACAUUCAUGCUGUUCUUGUGGAGGCCACCAGACAAUGAGUGAGCAAGAUGGUAGUCAAUGUUCAAGUCAUUUCUACCCAACACGGGAUUCCUUAGAUAGGCAAUCUUUGCUAUGGAGUAUCUUUUUGGUUCGUAGAAACUGUGUCAAAUGUUCCUUCGGUUUGGCAGCCCAGUUGCUCUCUCUUUUUUUCAUUCUUAGAUGUUAAGCCCCAAUAAGACUUUUGCACACCUGACUUCAUCUCAGGGUCUGUUUCCUGGGGAACAGGAAACACCUGUCCCACCUUCACCAAUCUUUAUGACUUUGAGUUAGAACAGGAUUUUUUCCUUUAUUAUUUAAAAAAUCCUAUGACAUGAGUCCAUUGCAUUUUUGUUGGAAUUGCUGAUUAGGAUCAUGUUAUGAUAGGGAUUGCAUACAAUUCCACUGAGUUUGGAAUUUUGAACACUGAAUUCAGACUCAGUUCUAGAAGCAAUUAUUUGCUGGAAUAUUAGGUGGAGUUGUCAUGGCUGGGUGCAGUGACUCAAGCCUGUAAUCCCAGCACUUUGGGAGGCUGAGGCAGGUGGUUUGCUUGAGUCCAGGAGUUUGAGACGAGCUGGGCAAUAUGAUGAGACCCCAUCUCUACAAAAUAUACAAAAAAUUACCUGGUCAUGGUGGCACGUGUCUGUAGUCCUAGCUACAUGGGGCUGAGAUAAAGAUGCUGGGCAAAGGUGAGCGGUGUGAAAUAAUGUGAAGAAGGUCACGUUGGUAAGGACAGAGCAUAUACUUCAAACUACAUCUGUCUGGUGCCCAAGCUGAUACACAAUGGAGAGCUAACAUGUAUGUGGACAAUAAAGAGAAUAAUCAGAAGAAAGAGAAAUCUGAGUUGGAAUCCAAUAUGGGCCCCAGUAGUGGCAUCUGAAUAGGUCUUGAGGAUGGGGACGGCAUACUAGGAAGCUGUAGAGACUACCAGGAAAAAGCAUGAAAGUAGGAGUAGCACACUGUAUGUGAAGGACGGUGGCCCUGAAAGGGCAAAAGUGAUUUUGCAGAAGCGGGAGGUAAGCUUGGUAAUCGUUUGAUUUCAUAGUGCUAGGCUUUAGAAGAACACAAAAGUUUGAACCUGAUUAGGAGUCAUUGCAAGGCAUUAUAAGUCCCUGAGAAUUGUCUGAAGGACAAUGUCAUAAUUAAUGAAAUGAAAUGAUUAUUUUGUGAACAGGAGAUAGAACAUAUCCCUUGAACUACAACUGAGAUUAAUGGAAAUUCUGUGGUUAAAAUUUAAAAUCUGGCAAAUGAUAAAGAAUAUUCAGGCAAGCUUUUGCCACAAAUCUGCUGCUUAAAAAAAAAAGUCAUAGACCCUCAAAAUAAUACCCAGGCAAUUGAAAAAGCCAGCAUGUGAUUUACAAUAUGCCACUGAAUUUGAAGAGCUUUGAAAGGAGGUUUACUUAAACCUCAUGAACACAAUGAUUUAAAGCAUGGAGUGGAGCCACUAGUGUGGGCUGAAGUAAGAAAGGUUAUUGCAAAAACAGCUUGUCUUCUCUUGCAUGGAAAAAAAAAACAGAAGCAGGGAGGGUCUGUACUCAAUCAGCAUGUCUAAAUGACUGUAUCACCCUAAAAAAUGCAGGUCAACACUGGGCUUUUCAAAGUUAAGAUGGAUUUCACCUCCCUUCCUCUUCCCUCCUCCGCAUGCUCAAGACGCUGUACCACCAUCCUUUGUGAUCACUACAGGAUUGAAUUGGUGAUGAGCUGGAACUGAGAUUUGGAACAGAACACUGUGAAAUCAACACACCACCUGGGGCAGAAAGUCCAAGAAACAUAAAUUUCUUGGAAAAUGACCCUAUAUUUUGGCAAUCAUUGCUGUGAAUGAGAAUACUUCAGAAUCUUAACCCAGAAUAAAGUAGAAGGCUUUGCCCCACAAACUCCUCUACAAUAUCUUUUACUAUAAUGUUUAUCCCUGUCUCACACUUGCAGGAAAAAUGAUGCUUAUUCCUGAAUGACUUCGAAGGAUUUUAUACUAUAAAACAAUUUCAGACUUUAUUGUGUGCUAUUAAAACUUUAAAUUCUUUUUCUCACUAUAAAGAUUUUCUUUUGAGGAAUGUUAUAAAUGCAUUGAAAUGCUUUAAAAUAAAAACACAUAAUAAAUUUAGAUAAUCUACUAAUAUUUACAGUUUAAACGUUUCCGUUUUCAGGUGUUAAAACUUCAUGUAGCAAGUCAGGCUAACCUAGAACCUCCUGUAAUUAGGACCCCACAGUAGAAAAGAGACAAAUUACAAGUGAACUACUUUUGGCAUCUUCCUGAUUGAUUUCUCUGGGCAGAGUACAGUAGGGAGCCUGGCAAAUUCCACUUCAUUCUAUAGUAAGUAGAGUGUGCAAGUCCAAAGGUCUUUUUCUGCAGAAAUAGUAUUCUUUAAAAGUCUGGAAAAGGCCAGGUGUAGUAGCUAAAGCCUGUAAUUCCAGUGCCUUGGGAGGCCAAGGCAGCAGGAUCGCCUGACUCCAGGAGUUUGAGACCAUCCUAACAACAAAGUGAGACCCCGUCCCUCUACAAAACAUAAAAUUAGCUGGGUGGUGUUUGCCUAUAGUCCCAGCUACUCAGGAGGCUGAGGUGGGAGAAUCAUCUGAGCCCAGGAGUUUGAGGUUUCAGUGAGCUAUGCUCAUACCACUGCACUCAAGCCUGGAUGACAGAGUGAGACUCUUUCUCUAUAAAUAAAUACAUAAAAAUACAAUAAUUAACAGUCUACCUGGGACUUGUGACCUGGAGUUUGGGGAAUCAGAGAGAAUAAGACACCCACUAUGCUGCUUUGUUAAAGCCAGGGAUGCCAUCUUUCACCUCCGUGCUUCUUCUUGUAUUCUCUUAAUUAAUCUCUGAAAAGCAAGUGAUAAAUACACGUGAAAAUAACUUGAGAAUGGGAACUCCUCUUGGAGUAAAGUUCUGAGUUCUAGACAUAGCUCUGCCAUUUAACAGUAUGGUGUUGCACAGUUUUAACCUCUGAGCUUCAGGGUUUUUUUGUUUUGUUUUGUUUUUGGCAACUCAUUAAUUCAAGCAAUAUUUGCUGUGUGCCCUGAGUUAGGCACUGAAGUUACAGAAAUGAGAAGUUUACACACAGAUUCUGUCUUUGUAAAGCUUAUAACCUAUGGAGGGAAAUAGAUACUAAACAAACAAUUGCAUUAAUAAUGAGUUGGUUAUAGUUUUGAUGAGGCCAAGAAGGGACAGUACAGUAGAGAUUGAUACCUCAUAACAGAGGAUCCUAAGCUUGCUUUUGUGGGUUCUAAAUGACAAAAUGUGCCUGACACAUAGGAGGUUCAACAAAUGCUAGCUGAAUCCGAAAGUAUGCUAUUUGACUGAUAGAAAACCUGACAAUACAAAAAACAAAAAGCAAAACCCAAUGUAUUAGUCCAUUUUCAUGCUGCUGAUAAAGACAUACCCGAGAUGGGGUAAUUUAUAAGGAAAAAAGAAGUUUAAUGGACUCACAAUUCGACAUGGCUGGGGAGGCCUCACAAUCACGGCAGAAGGCAAAAGUCACAUCUUACAUGGUGGCAGACAAGAAAGAAGGAGAGCCAAAAAAAAAAAAAAAGAAGAGGCUUGUCUCCCCUUAUAAAAACAUAAGAUCUCAUGAGACUUAUUCAUUACCAAGAGAAUAGUAUAGGGAAAACCACCCCCAUGAUUCAAGUAUCUCCCACCAGGUCCAUCCCACAACACAUGGGAAUUGUGGGAGCUACAAUUCAAGAUGAGAUUUGGGUAUGGACAAAACCAAACCAUAUCACCCCAGGACCAAAGUUCUCUGAUUGCUGUUUUAGUUCAUUUGCUGCUCAGAAAACGAUAGCAAUCUUCUCAUUCAGGAAGCUGACAGAAGAAAAGUGAAGAAUUUCAUGUAGCAUGUGCUUUACCUUGAGGAGAGGGAGAGAAUACUUCAAGGACUCAAAUUUAGUAUAUCUCUUAGGUAUAAAUAAAUCUUAAGGAAUUCAUGUAAGUGGCUUUUUUGUUCUCUCUCUCUCUGUGUGUGUGUGUGUGUGUGUGUGUGUGUCUGUGUGUGUGUGUGUGUGUUUACCCCCACACUGCUUUGGUGUCUUACCCAAAACGGAAGUCCUUUGACAAGUGAUUUUAUUUUCCUUAGAAACUUAAAAUGUAUAGCAAUGACUCAAGGGCCAUUGGGUAAGAUAUUUAAUUGAAAUAAAUUUAAUUCAAUUUUGUGCAUUUUACCACAUUUCUAUGUGGAAAAAAAAAUAGAAGGAAUCUGACCUGAUAAUUGAAUGGAAUCUUGUUCUACUAGCGUUCAUCAAAUGGAAAGAUUAUUCUGCUGCAAGGCAAAGUGCAGCUAAAAAUGGAUUAUAGCCCCAAGAGGCAACCCAGGAAGCAUCAUAAUGGCUCACCUGAUGAACUCGAAAUCUGAAUUUUAUGAGAAAAAAUACUGCUUUCAGUAACGCAGUGGUUCUGUUUUUUUAUAUGAUUGCUUGAGAUAUUUAGGAUAUCUUGUGUUAUUGUGGCCAUCUUUAAGAUCAAGGAACCAAAACAAAAGAAAGAAGGAAGUUACCUCCUCAGGGAAACGUUAUUAGUCAGAAGUAAGACCAGAAGUACAUUUCUCUGACUCACAGGAUUCAGCUUCAAGAGUCAGUGACCUGAUGAGGGGAAAUGGCAAAAUAAAGAGGGGGAUGGGGAGAAAAAUGAAGUCCAUAGAGAAAGAGUGGAGAAAGAAGUUGAAGGAGAGAAAUUUUAAAAGAAUUGCUUCUUCUAUAUUAAUUUAGAGAGGCUGGAAACAACUUUAUAGAAAUUUUAAUGAAAGUUACAAUAUCUGGGAAAAUUUUUCACUGUUUCUUUUCUUUCUUCUUCUUCCUCUUUUUUUUGAAACAGGGUCUUGGCCAGGCACGGUGGCUCAUACCUGUUAUCCCUGCACUUUGGGAAGCCAACAUAGGUGGAUCACAAGGUCAGGAAUUUGAGACCAUCCUGGCCAAUAUGGUGAAACCCCAUCCCUACUAAAAAUACAAAAUUAGCUGGGUGUGGUGGUGGCCGCCUGAGUCCCAGCUACUCAGGAAGCUGAGGCAGGAGAAUCGCUUGAACCCGGGAGGCGGAGGUUGCAGUGAGCUGAGGUAGCGCCACUGCACUUGAGCCUGGGUGACAGAGGGAGACUCUGUCUCAAAAAAAAGGAAGAAAGGAAAAGAGGGGAAAAAAAGAAACAUUCUCACUCCUGCUGCCGAGGCUGGAAUGCAGUGGCACCACAGCUCACUGCGGCAUUGACUUCCUGGGCUCAAGUGAUGCUCCCACCACAGUCCCUAUGAGUAACUGGGACUAUAGGGUGAGCCACCAUGCCUGGCUAAUUUUUGUAUUUUUAGAAGAGAAGGGGUUUUGCCAUGUUGCCCAGGCUGAUCUCAAACUCCUCCACCUAACUCAGCCUCCCAAAGUACUGGGUUUACAGGCAAGAGCCACCGUGCCCAGCCCUGAUUGUUCCUUUGACUGUUUUUGAAUGAAAACCCCAAAACACUGAUAAGUUAAAUGUUCAGAAGAUCAAAAUUUGGAAGAGAGAACAUGAUUUUUUUAAGUGAAAGCAAGUUUAUUAAGAACGUAAAGGACUAAAGAAUGGCUGCUCCAUAAGCAGAACAGCGAGAUAGCAUGAUUUUUAAAAUGUUACAGAUUGGAAAAUUGGGCCAAAAUAAGUAAUAUAAAAUGUAGGAUUGAUAAAAUUUAACAUUUAGAUUCUUACCUAAUGACACAAAUCCUGCCUACCCUAGCUUUGUUCAGAGCCCACGAUGACAUCAUCCAUAGGCUCUGUUUACUCCUUGUUCAGAGCCCACGAUGACGUCAUCUAUAGGCUCUGUUUACUCCUUGUUCAGAGCCCACGAUGACGUCAUCCAUAGGCUCUGUUUACUCCUUGUUCAGAGCCCACGAUGACGUCAUCCAUAGGCUCUGUUUACUCCUUGUUCAGAGCCCACGAGGACGUCAUCCAUAGGCUCUGUUUCCUCCUUGUUCAGAGCCCACAAUGACGUCAUCCAUAGGCUCUGUUUCCUCCUUGUUCAGAGCCAACGAUGAUGUCAUCCAUAGGCUCUGUUUCCUCCUUGCCGACACCCGGGCUAAUGAAAGCGGUCUUGUCAGUGUAUUCGUACCUCCUUCCUGUACCUGAAAUUAGCAUAGAUCAAAUGUGCAAUAGAAGAUGCCACACUCUAAUCGUUAAGAGUGUGGACUUGGUCCUCAAAAUAACUUUUCUUUGGAUUAUGCAUCCUACUGUAUGAUCUUGAGAAAAUUACUUAAUCUUUCUAAGUUUCAAUUCCUUCAUUUAGAAAAAUGUGAUUCCUGAUAGUAACUAACAUAGAGGGUUGCUGUGAGGAGUAAGUGAAGUAACACAUAACCCAGUAGUUAAAUGCAGACUUUGGAGCCAAAAUGCCUGAGUUUGAAUUCUACUUCUACUAACUGUGGUCCAUUUGAUUUUAGGUAAGUUGAUUAUCUUCUUCAUGUCUCAGUUUUCUUAUUUACAAUAUAGGGGUAAUACACACUGUCUAUCCCAUAGAUUGGGGGGGAUUAAAUUAAUUUAAGUAAAACACUUAGAAUAGUACCUGGCAUAUAGAAAGCACCCAAUAAGUGAUUACGAUUAUUAUUAUAUAAUUAAUCAAUAUAUAUUAGCUACUAUCAUAUGUCUUUAUUUUUAAUAUUAUUACCACUAUAUGCAUUAUCUCCUGAGCAACAGAGGAAGCAUUGACCUUAAACCUCUCUAUAUAAUGGCUAUUUUAUGUGUCAAAUUUCAAUAACUCUUUCCCUUGUUUCUGAUUUAAAUUCAGAUCUCUUCUGGUCUAUUAGCCUCACUGUGAACCACAAUUAUUCUUAUUCUCUCAGUUUGACCAGAAUUCAGUUUCCCUCAUCCCAGUUCUAGAUGGUAAUUUCAGGAUCCUCCAACUAUGGAUCGGCCCUCACACCAAUGAAGACAGAUUUCUAAGGGAUGGUGACUCUGAAACCCACCUGAUGACAAGAAUCUUCUCUUCCUUGGAAAGCCACCCAUAGUAGUUUUUGGAUAUCUCUGCUAGUCUGGAUCAAAAUUAACUUUCAGGAGCCUUUAAAUUUUUUUAGUUAGAAUUCUACACCAUUUUCAGGACCAGGUUGUGGAAACACCUAGUUGGCGAUGGAUGAGUUCUUCUAGUUCACCAGUCUCAACUUGUGACAGGCAUCACUAAUACACAACUAAUUUAUACUGACCUAACAAAAGGUUAGUGUAUGGAGAGGAGAACAUCUUUAAAAAUCCAAUAUAUGAAUUCUCAUUUUUAAAAUACUGGGCAUCAGUUUGAUUAGCAGGAAUUAUUAAGAGUGUAUCUAGUUCACUUUAAAAAACAAUUAUACUGUAAGUUCUGGGACACAUAUGUAGAACAUGCAGGUUUGUUAUAUUAGGUAUACACGUACCAUAGUGGUUUGCUGCAACCAUCAACCGGUCAUCUACAAUAGGUAUUUCUUGUAAUGCUAUCCCUCCCCUAACCCCCUACCCCUCUACAGGCUUCAGUGUGUGAUGUUCCCUUCCCUAUGUCCAUGUGUUCUCAUUGUUCAACUCCCACUUAUGAGUGAGAACAUGUGGUGUUUAUUUUAAUGUUCCUGUGAUUCCUGAGAAUGAUGGUUUCCAGCUCCAUCCAUGUCCCUGCAAAGAACAUGAACUCAUCCUUCUUUAUGGAUGCAUAGUAAUCCAUGGUGUCUAUAUGCCACAUUUUCUUUAUCCAGCCUAUUAUUCCUGGGCAUUUGGGUUGGUUCCAAGUCUUUGCUAUUGUGAACACAAUAAACAUAAGUGUGCAUGUGUCUUUAUAGUAGAAUGAUUUAUAAGCCUUUGGUUAUAUGCCCAGUGAUGGGAUUGCUGGGUCAAAUGAUGUUUCUGGUACAAGAUCCUUGAAGAAUCACCACACUGUCUUCCACAAUGGUUGAACUAAUUUACACUCCCACCAACAGUGUAAAAGUGUUCCUAUUUCACCACAUCCUCUCCAGCAUCUGUUGUUUCUUGACUUUAAAAAGUCAGGAAAUCACCAUUCUAACUGGUGUGAGAUGGUAUCUCAUUGUGGUUUUGAUUUGCAUUUCUCCAAUGAUCAGUGAUGAUGAGCUUUUUUUCAUAUGUUUUUUGGCCACAUAAAUGUCUUCUUUUAAGUGUCUGUUCAUAUACUUCACCCACUUUUUGAUGGGGUUGUUUGUGUUUUGCUUGUAAAUUUGUUUAAGUUCUUUGUUAGAGUCUAGAUAUUAGCCUUUUGUCAGAUGGAUAGAUUGCAAAACUUUUUUCCCAUUCUGUAGGUUGCCUGUUCACUCUGAUGAUAAUUUCUUUUGCUGUACAGAAGCUCUUUAGUUUAAUUAGAUCCCAUUUGUCAAUUUUGGCUUUUGUUUUCAUUGCUUUUGGUGGUUUUAGUCAUGAAGUCUUUGCUGAUGCCUAUGUCCUGAAUGAUAUUGCCUAGGUUUUCUUCUAGGGUUUUUAUGGUUUUAGGUCUAUGUUUAAGUCUUUAAUCCAUCUUGAGUUAAUUUUUGUAUAAGGUAUAAGGAGGUUCAGUUUCAGCUUUCUACAUAUGGCUAGCCAGUUUUCCCAACACUAUUUAUUAAAUAGGGAAUCCUUUCCCCAUUGCUUGUUUUUGUCAUAUUUGUCAAAGAUCGAAUAGUUGUAGAUGUGUGGCGUUGCCUCUGAGGCCUCUGUUCUGUUCCAUUGGUCUAUAUCUCUGUUUUGGUACCAGUACCAUGCUGUUUUUAUUACUGUAGCCUUGUACUAUACUUUGAAGUCAGAUAGCGUGUUGCCUCCAGCUUUGAGCUUUUUGCUUAGGAAUGUCUUGGCUAUGUAGACUCUUUUUUGGUUCCAUAUAAAAUUUAAACUAGUUUUUUUCUAAUUCUGUGAAGAAAGUCAAUGGCUACUUGAUGGAAACGGCAAUGAAUCUAUAAAUUACUUUGGACAGUGUGACCAUUUUCACAAUAUCGAUUCUUCCUAUCCAUGAGCAUGGAAUGUUUUUCCAUUUGUUUGUGUCAUCUCUUAUUUUCUUGAGCAGUGGUUUGUAGUUCUCCUUGGAGAGGUCCUUCACAUCCCUUGUUAGUUGUAUUCCUAUGUAUUUUAUUCUCUUUAGAGCAAUUGUGAAUGGGAGUUCACUCAAGCUUUGGCUCUCUGUUUGUCUACUAUUGGUGUAUAAGAAUGCUUGUGAGUUUUGCACAUUGAUUUUGUAUCCUGAGACUUUGCUGAAGUUGCUUAUCAGCUUAAGGAGAUUUUGAACUGUGAUGAUAGGGUCUUCCAAACAUACAGUCAUGUCAUCUCCAAAUAGAGACAAUUUGACUUCCUCCUUUCCUAAUUGAAUACCCUUUAUUUCUUUUUCUUGCCUGAUUGCCCCGUCCAGAACUUCCAAUACUAUGUUGAAUAGAAGUGGUGAGAGAGGGCAUCCUUGUCUAGGGCCAGAUUUCAAAGAGAAUGCUACCAGUUUUUUCCAUUCAGUAUGAUAUUGGCUGUGGGUUUGUCAUAAAUAGCUUUUAUUAUUUUGAGAUACGUUCCAUUGAUACCUAGUUUAUUGAGAGAUUUUAGCAUAAAGUGCUGUUGAAUUUUGUGGAAGGCCUUCUCUGCAUCUAUUGAGAUGAUCAUGUGGUUUUUGUCUUUGGUUUUGUUUAUGUGAUGGAUUAUGUUUAUAGAUUUCAUUAUUUACCCAGUAGUCAUUCAGGAGCAGGUUGUUUAGUUUCCAUGUAGUUGUGCAGUUUUGAGUGAGUUUCUUAAUCCUGAGUUCUAAUUUGAUUGCACCGUGGUCUGAGAGACUAUGAUUUCCAUUCUUUUGCAUUUGCUGAGAAGUGUUUUGCUUCCAAUUGUGUGGUCAAUUUUAGAAUAAGUGUGACGUGCUGCUAAAAAGAAUGUAUAUUCUGUUGAUUUGGGAUAGAGAAUUCUGUAGAUGUCCGUUAGGUUUGCUUGGUCCAGAGCUGAGUUCAAGUCCUGAAUAUCCUUGUUAAUUAUUUGCUCAAUAAAUAGACUCUAUCAAAUCCUUUUGGAUAUUGUUGUCUAAAAACUGUUUGCUUGGUUUUGAUGAACUAAUACUAAUAUUACAAUUGUUAAUAUCUGCAUCAG